UCUCCAGGUACUCCGGUUUCCUCCCAUAGUCCAAAGACCUGCUGUUUAAAUUGCCCUCUGUGUGUGUGUGUGUGUGUGAGUGUGUGUGUGGUGCCCUGCGAUGGACUGGCGUCCUGUCAGGGUGUAGUCCUGCCUUGCAUUGCCCUCUGUCUACUGGGUUAGGCGCCGGCUCACUGUGACCCUCUAAAGGAAUAAGCUGUUAUGAUAGUGGAUGGAUGGAUGGGAGUCAUCUAAACAGUUUAAUUAUUUUAUUGUUGUGAUUUUUUUACUUUAUUUUAUUCACAGGCCAAAGCAUAGCUAUGAAUGUUCCACUGCCUCCAUUAAGCGAGUAUGUAAAAAGACAUCUGAAGGAAAAUGAAUCUGUCAUGGUAUGGUCAAAAAUGAUUGAGGAAAGUGCACGCUACUACCUGGGCCUAUUUCCACACAUUGGCCAAAGUGCAGAAUACCGCAGCAUGGGACACAAAUUUUACCAGACCUAUCCCACAAUCAAGCAGGAAGGAAAUGAACCCUGGUCUUUCUGCAAAUCCUACAGUGCUCGCAUUUGAGAUGGAGUGAGAAAAGAAAGUCUUCUGGAGGUGAAACACCACUAAAAAAACAAAGGAGUUUCACUGUUGCAAUGGGUCACUGCUCAAAUGCAAUAGUGAUGACUAUGAGAGAAAUGUGUCUGAGCUAUCCAAGGAAUGGGCAAAGCCACAGCCCAAUGAAAAUCAUAUAAAAAUGCUUUUAAAAGAGACACACAAAGGACGUCAAAUGUGGUUGUCCACAGUCCCGGUGGGGACAUGAAAACAGUCAUGGACAAGUUUCCUUGUUUUGAACAGGGAAAGUAUGUGAUAUAUGACUUCAUUUUAGGAACUGGAAAGAAGGAUCAGAAUGAAUUCUCAAAAACAAAAAUCAUACAGCUGCUUACUGCUGUGAAGGAGUUGAUGAGGGAAGACUCCAUUAAUAUGCAGUUGCUGACUGAGAAGAAGUUGUUAUAAGGCAUUGAUGCAGACAAGAUGGCUUCCCAAUUAAUAGCACUAGCCCCGAAGACUCAAUUAAAGCAGAUGUGUGUAAAAAAAUUAAUAAACAGCUGCUUGAAUGACCUAGAGAAGAAAGGUUUGGAGUUGACUGCAGCAAUAUUACUUCUACCAUCCCUGUUAAAAGAAGAUUCGUCAACUUUAUUUGUGAUAGAUCAAGUACAUUUUGAUUGAUCGGUUGUUUCCUUCUUUUACUGCUUGUAGGCUGAAUGUAAGAGAAUGAAAAAGAAACAUUGCAACUAACAGAUAUAUUUACAUUUUGUAUACCUUUUGCAUGUACUAUAUAUUACUAUUUGAUCAAAACAAAAGUUUGUAAAUGUUUUAGAAUAUUUUUUCUGAUAUUAUGUAAACAUAAGUGGCCUUUCCUUCCACCCCAUGUGCAUUUGUAAUAGGUCUUAUGUAUAUUCAGCCAGUGCAAUUAUCCUAUCAGAAACAUUUUGAAUAACCUCUGUCCAUAAUGUUUUUUUUUGUUGUUGUUUUGUACUGUAUUUUUUUAUUUUUUUUUUGACAUGUAUGGGUUUCUGAAUUUAAAAAAUAUAUAUUUCAGGACCCAGCCCUCCCAACCCCUGUGAUUUGUUUUACAUGACUGUACAGAGGGAACUCCUAUGUCAUAUGAGAGAGUGACCGUCGUAAUGGAUGGCCAGUCCAUGCUAACUGAUGAUUUGAAUCUAGAUGCGUCUCUUUCUUUGGGGGCUGUCUGUUUUUUCUUUAUAUUAUAUAUUUGGUAUUGAAUAUCCAAAGCAGACGAGGAAGACAAUGAGCUUUUUGGAGGCAUUUGUCUUCAAACUUAAUACUUUAAAGUAUUAAAAGACUAUAUAAUGCUGUUUCGGCCUGUGUUUAGAAAAUAAACACAUAAAGUGAUCAUUAAGGUUCUGUUCUGAAAGAGCUGCAGAAAUGUUUAGUGUAUUAAGUUUGUUUUUACUGGAGUUUACUGGAGAAAAUGUGAAGGAAGUCUCUAACUCUUUCAUUUUAAUUAAUUUACUUAAUUUCAAUUUAAUUAUGUACAUAUUUUAUGAUUGUAUUUAAUAAAUGGAGCUGCU